CGGGUGUUGCUCCCCUAGAAACAGAUAUGCAGUCCAUUGUGGGCCAGCAAGUGAGUGCUGAGAACCCAGUCCGGGUCUUCUGUAAGAGCAGCAAGUCCUCUUAACCAUGGGGCCAUCUCUGCAGUCCAAGUCAUCAAAUAUUAAACGUUAUAUAUUUGGGAAUGUGAUGGUCAGAUGACAAUUAACAUAUGAAGACAUUGGGAAAUACUUUUCCAAGUCUCUGUCCUGUUUUCCAUGGCCACCAGCAGUGGGUACGAGAGUUUCAUCCUCCACAACCUGCCAGGACAUUCAAGAAGCCUCAGCCCAACUGAUAGAGCCAAAAUUACCUGCAGAUAUGAUGCAACUAUUCCUAAAAACAUCUCAAAUAUUUUGAAGUUGCAAGUUAAUUAUGAGAAAAGAAACAAAUGUCCAACACCCAGUUUGGGGGAAAUUUUCUAAGGCAGCCACAGGUCUAAUGUUUGCCCAAAUGGAAUCUUUGGAAUCAUAGAGAUACUCCUUCACCUCCCAGCCAGCUCCAUCAGGUCUCUUCUAUGAUAAGAACAACAGGAAGGCAGAGAGAACACGCAGAAGGUUGACAAGAAGCUGACAUGAGCCCUUGUUUCCAUAGAACAGGGGAGAAAACAGUGAACUCUCCAUGCAAAACCAGCUCCUGGAGAAGAACCAAGUGUGGUGUGGUCUUGUCAGCCUGUUACCUGAGCAAGAGUGACAAGAUCAUGUGGGACUCACCAGGGUCUGGGUCAUUGUUCUGCACACACAACCACAGAGAGUACAACAGCAGCCUCCAGUCCCUUGUUGCUGACCUUUGAGGAAGCUGGGCAUGUAAGGUAGGUUUGCUCUCAGGAGACUUGCUCUCGGGAACAGGAUGUCCUUGCCAGAGGCUGGACUCGAGGAUGCUGCAGCACAUAGAUCUGCCCAGCAUCUGUGGCCCUGUCCGAAGCUCUUCAAAACUGUGGUGGGAGCACAUGUGGGGAUUUUUAAAAGUGGUCCCUAGACACUGGUAUGGCUCCCCUGGCAGUGCAGGACAUUCCCAGCUAUAUUCUUGAUUUUUCUGGUAGCUGUUCAAUGAGAAUGCUAUACCAUGAAAAGAAAUCACUGGUGAAUUUAAAAAGCCACAGUAUGGGGACUGGCGACAUAGCUCUCGAGGCAGAAUGAUUGCCUAGAAUGGAAAUUGCUCUGUGUUCUUUGACCCUCUGGGCAU